rnacentral:rRNA from 1 species
AGCUCGUAGUUGGAUUUCGGGUGGGUUUUAGCGGUCCGCCUAUGGUGAGUACUGCUAUGGCCUUCCUUACUGUCGGGGACCUGCUUCUGGGCUUCAUUGUCCGGGACAGGGAUUCGGCAUGGUUACUUUGAGUAAAUUAGAGUGUUCAAAGCAGGCUUACGCCGUGAAUACUUUAGCAUGGAAUAACAUGAUAGGACUCUGCCCUAUUCUGUUGGCCUGUAGGUGUGGAGUAAUGAUUAAGAGGAACAGUCGGGGGCAUUCGUAUUUCAUUGUCAGAGGUGAAAUUCUUGGAUUUAUGAAAGACGAACUACUGCGAAAGCAUUUGCCAAGGAUGUUUUCAUUAAUCAAGAACGAAAGUUGGGGGCUCGAAGACGAUUAGAUACCGUCGUAGUCUCAACCAUAAACGAUGCCGACUAGGGAUUGGCGGACGUU